rnacentral:rRNA from 1 species
GGGCCCGCACAAGCAGCGGAGCGUGUGGUUUAAUUCGAUGCAACGCGCAGAACCUUACCUCGGCUUGACAUGCACGUGGUACUGAUCCGAAAGGAAAGGGACCCGCGAGGGAGCGUGCACAGAUGCUGCAUGGCUGUCGUCAGCUCGUGCCGUGAGGUGUUGGGUUAAGUCCCGCAACGAGCGCAACCCUUGUCCUUAGUUGCCUUCUCUAAGGAGACCGCCGGUCUAAACCGGAGGAAGGUGGGGAUGACGUCAAGUCAGCACGGCUCUUACGUCGAGGGCUACACACACGCUACAAUGGCCGGUACAACGGGCUGCCAAGGGGCGACCUGGAGCUAAUCCCACCAAAGCCGGUCUCAGUUCGGAUUGCAGGCUGCAACUCGCCUGCAUGAAGUCGGAGUUGCUAGUAACUGCCAGUCAGCACAUGGCAGUGAAUACGUUCCCGGGCCUU